rnacentral:lncRNA from 1 species
UCUAACCUGUGGAUCUGCCAUCUUAGCUAAAGCUUUCAGAAACUAAAUGGUUUUCGACAGCAUCUUGAAUCAGAGCUGCAACUUUAUGGGACAACAAGAACUCAUGUGUCAGACCAGUGCGAAGCAGGAACACAAAAGUAUACGAACUAAUGGUCGUCAUCGAUGUAGAUGUAGUUGUAGAUCAGAGGCAAGUCCAAGAAGCAACCCAUGUGUUGACUGUUUAAUCCUGUCCUCAGUUACAAACAAUAGCUCCAAUAUUAUUUGACAUGUUCCCUAGGACAUUCCAAUUGUAUUCUUCUAUUACCCCCUGCUUCUCUUUUCGAUCCAUGUUACAUGCAUGAUUCAAACUUUCAGAUGCUGCUUCAUUUCCUUUCUGCAUCCAGUCCAUGAGCAAUCUUAGCUGGGACUGGACAACUGUGGAACUGACAAUCUCUGCCAUUAGGAUUCAAGCAUAUGUAGUAUCCCU